rnacentral:rRNA from 1 species
ACGUGUAGAGCUAGCGUUGCUCGGAUUUACUGGGCUUAAAGGGUGUGUAGGCGGCUUUAUAAGUAAGGUGUGAAAUCCAACGGCUUACCCGUUGAACUGCACUUUAUACUGCAAAGCUUGAGGAUCGGAGAGGAUAGCGGAAUUCUGGGUGUAGCGGUGAAAUGCGUAGAUAUCCAGGAGAACGCCGGUGACGAAGGUGGCUAUCUGGCCGAUUACUGACGCUGAAACACGAAAGCUAGGGGAGCAAACGG